rnacentral:rRNA from 1 species
AGUGAACGCUGGCGGUAGGCCUAACACAUGCAAGUCGAACGGCAGCACAGUAAGAGCUUGCUCUUACGGGUGGCGAGUGGCGGACGGGUGAGGAAUACAUCGGAAUCUACUUUUUCGUGGGGGAUAACGUAGGGAAACUUACGCUAAUACCGCAUACGACCUACGGGUGAAAGCAUGGGAUCUUCGGACCUUGCGCGAUUGAAUGAGCCGAUGUCGGAUUAGCUAGUUGGCGGGGUAAAGGCCCACCAAGGCGCCGAUCCGUAGCUGGUCUGAGAGGAUGAUCAGCCGCACUGGAAGUGAGACACGGUCCAGACUCCUGAGGGAAGCAGCAGUGGGGAAUCUUGGGCAAUGGGGGCGAGCCUGAUCCAGCCAUACCGCGUGGGUGAAGAAGGCCUUAGGGUUGUAAAGCCCUUUUGUUGGGCAAGAAAAGCAGCAGGUUAAUACCCCGCUGUUCUGACGGUACCCAAAGAAUAAGCACCGGCUAACUUCGUG